UACGUAGGGGGCGAGCGUUGUCCGGAUUCAUUGGGCGUAAAGAGCUCGUAGGCGGCCUCAUAAGUCCGUUGUGAAAGUCAAAGGCUCAACCUUUGAAAGCCGAUGGAUACUGUGAGGCUAGAGUCCGGAAGAGGCGAGUGGAAUUCCUGGUGUAGCGGUGGAAUGCGCAGAUAUCAGGAGGAACACCAAUAGCGAAGGCAGCUCGCUGGGACGGUACUGACGCUAAGGCGCGAAAGCGUGGGGAGCGAACGGG
rnacentral:rRNA from 1 species